rnacentral:lncRNA from 1 species
UCCGUCCAGCUAUCUAUCAAUUACAACAGCCCUUUCACCAGCAACUCAUCCCAACAGUCCCGCCAGUCAAAAUGCCAAAUAAAUUCCACUCUCAGAAAAUCAUCAUCCCUCCACUUUCAAUGCAAAACAGAUCCCAGGUGGAUUGGGUUGGGCAUCCCGCAAUGACUCCAGGGCUCUCUACUUGUGAUUGAACCAGGGACCCAUCGCACUGUUGACGUGCCUGUUGCUGUGGUGCAUCCCUACGCCAUUGGGCAUGACGGAAGGGGGAAGCCCCGCCGCCACUUGAGGGGGCGUGGUCGGAUACAACCCGUGAUUGUGCGGCGGUAGCGUGUGGGGACUCAUGAUAGGACUGCUAAGAGGGCUGCCCUUACGUUGUUGCUGAAUGGCGUGGAUCUGCCUAAGCCCUUCUUCAUGAAUGCGCGAGAUCGUCUCCAACUCUGUCAUUGAAAGUGCAUCCAGACCAGCACCGUACAGAGGAGCAUGCCUAGACAUUUCUUCCCGGAGUUGAGUAUCGAGUGAUUGGAUAUAUUCCUGCAAAGAGGAGGUGAAAUCUAAGCAACAAAGAGAAAGCAGGACAACCCAAAUUAAUACUAAAGCAUAUGCUUGAAUGAGUUGUUGGCACAAACCUGGUAGGCUUCCAAUCGUGCUUGCAUACCAUGAAUACGUUCUUCAUAUUCAGCAAUCCGCUCAUCUUUUUUCCGCUUUUCUCCUUCAGUUUGUCCCACUGUUUGUCUCAAUCUUCUAAUCUCGUCCUCAAGGGACUGCCGAAUCUGUUCUCCAGUCACAUUUUCCAUCUCGUACCGCUUCGGCUCUUCAUCAGAUCUUUUCCUCCCAGCUUCCGCACUCUUCAGCCUUUCAGCAAGGGGGUCCUUUUCCUCUGCCACUUUCUGUUCCAUUCACAUAUUUUGGUUGAAAAGACAUCAAUUAGCAUAUUUCCUAAGGCAGGAAAAAAGGAGAUAAAUCCAAUUCAUCCAACUCCACCCUGGUCAUCCAAAGCAAUUUCCCAUGCAAUCUUCUGAAAAAACACUAGCCAAUAGAUAAUAUUUUCCCCUUCUUGGAGAGAUGUAGGCAACACAUAUAAACCAAAACCAAGACCUCUUGAGACUUAGUAAGAGAAGCCAUCACUAAGCCAAAUCCUUACUCCCUCACAUGGGAAAUGCAAUGUUUAGAAAUGCACAAGUUGACAUGAAAAGAAAGCAAAAGAACUUGAUUAAGGAUAAAUAAAGCGACAGAAGCAGUGAAAGACAACCUCCAAUUCUUCACUAUGACGAGUCUUCAGCUGCAAAAUCUCCGACUCUGCAUCAUGAAGACGAUCUUGAAGGGCCUCCUUCUCAGAAGUGAGCUUUGCAAUUUCCUCCGCUCUCUCAGAGCGAAGCUCCUCAAGCUGGUUCUCUAGGUCCUGGACUUGGUCAGAUAAUUCUUUCUUUUCUCGUGCAAAACGAUCCAUCUCAGCCUCCAUCUCAGACUGCCAAUUAUAGAAAGUGUCAAACAAAAACUUGCCACGAAGAAUCGACACACCACGUCAAAGCAAUCGCAUACCUAGGUCAAGAAGUAAAACAAAUUAGUUACCGCGUGGCGUUGGACACGCGAGCACUCCUCGAAGAAGCUGCGAUCAUAAGAAACGGGAAGAGCUAAAUUAAUCCAGCUUUAACUCAUAAAAGCGUAUGAUUUUCACUUAUUCAUUGAAGCUAAAGCAGCGACUUACACUGGCAAAAUGGGAGCAAAAAGUAGAACCACUCAAAAAGCAACCCAAUCUUCGCUUUCUCUCUCUUUUUCACACACACACACACACACAAAUGUCAGAAAAAGCUGAAAAGAACAUGGAACAAUUGCCCAAGACGAAGAAAAACACCAAAACUAGCAGUCUCGAUGAAAACCCAGAAGCCACAAUCUUCACAGAAAGCCAACAGGUCGGUUCAACAGCCCAUUUCGCAGAACAAGAUCUCAUCGCGAGAAAACCCACCGCCCCCAUCCCGGAGGUAACCCAAGAAAAGAAGAGAAAAAGUCCACGCCUUCACGCGUUGACUCGACAAGAAACGCAAUAACACAGGAGGGGAAAACGCGAAAAGAGCGGAGCUCACGAGAUUGGCGUUGUUCCCGCGAGCCCAAUCAACGCGGAACUAGUGCUACCCAGAAGACCCAGAAGGUAAAAAAAACACGACGACUUCGACGAUGGAGAGAUGGAAGAAAUAGAGAGAGAGAGAGAGAGAGAGAGAGAAAAUCAGAACCUGCCACGGCCAAAUUGCAGCGCGGGAUGCGAUCGGUUGGAGAAUCUGUCCUCGGCGCAGGAGCUUUCAAUGCAUCCCCACUUCACUCAUUCCUCUCUCUCUCUCUCUCUCUCUAUAUCUGCGAAUUGUGGCUGUGGAGGGAAUCGGAGGAGAAGAAGAACAACGACGUUGUCCCUGGCUCCGCUGUUCAGUUCAGGCCAAAUGACAAAGGAACAAGAGAGAGAAAUGGAUCUUUCUAAGGCGGUGGUGGGAUGCUGCGGGAUACGUCUCUGCUGACAGUGACAGAUUUUGGCAUGUUGGUCCAAUUUUUUAAAUGAGAACGUGAAGAAGUGUUUCUUUUUCUUAAAAGAGUUAUUAUUAAAAAAAAAUCAUGAAUUGAUAAAUUUAUGAUAAAUUUACUUUACAUAAAUUUUCGUCAAAUGUGAUGGUUGACAAAUUUAUCGAUUUGAGAUUUCACCUUGGUUUGUUAGUUUAUGAUUUUCUGUGAUAUUUAUUGAACUUAAUGAAUACUAAUGGUAUGUGAGGUAGUGGGAGGAAAGAAGUACGGAAAAGAAAAAUGAAAUAAAUUUGAGACCGGGGUUUGGGGUGGAUCCUGAGAGGAUUUUUUUCUAUCAGAAAAAUAAAUAAAUGAGAUAAAAAAUAAUUUCGAAAGAUAAAAGUAUCAAAUAUUGAAUAAUGAUAAAUUUCCGUCAUUAUAUAAGAUUAUGACUUAUUUAAAUAAAUUUAUUCUAAUUUUUCAUUAAUCAUUAAUUUUAUCAAUAAUUUUUAUUAAAGUUAAAAACAUGUCUUCAAAAAUAGAUAUGCAUUAAUAUGAAUAUGUCUUUCGAAUUUUCAAUAAAUAGAUUUAUUAAUAAUAUUAUUAUAAAUUCAUUGAAGAUUCUUUUUAUUAUUUAUUUUUUUGUAAAUUUGAAUCAAAUUAAUUAAAAAUAAGAAUAUUUAUUUAAUAUACAACGUGUCUUAAAGUGUCGGAUUCUUUAUUUUUUAGAAAUGAUUUGUCGACGUAUCGUAUCGUGUCGUGUCGUGUCGUAUAUUCGCAUCGCGUGUUCGUGUCGUCAAUGCUAUAAUGUAAUUGAACCUUCGGCCACAUCCAUUCCUCCUGCCAGAUUUUUUCGAAAUGGACAAAUCCUGAUUUCCAUGCCUUCGGCCACAUUCAUCGAACCUACCCUUUGAUUGCAACGUCGGAUCAUGCCGACUAGACGCGUGAUUAGGAAUUUCAAGAAAUUGGUCAUGCUGAACGUAACUUCCUUACGGCAUAUCCCAAUGCAAAUCUUUCAAAUACAGGUAUUAAUGAAUUGGGAUGAGAAUUUUUGAACGUUAAUUUAAUGUGCAAUAUUGUUCUUAAAUGCUUAAUUUGUUCAAUGUUGUUUAUGAACUAUUCAUAAAUGUUGGAUGUUUUCCUUCAUCUUACUCAAAUGACAAAUCGGACUUCUCUAGAUGGAAUGGAUUAUUAUGAAGAUGAAUUAAUAUGUCUAUCCUUGUAUCCAUCUACUUUAAAAAAAGAGAAAUAAAAUUAUAGCGUUGAUAUACCCAUCUUUAUUUGGUGACGUGAAUUAUUAUAUCUUGAUUUCAGGUAAAUAUUUUACGUGGGUAGUUUAGGUGUAGUUUUUUUUUUUUUUUAAUUUGAGCCAUAUCAACAUAUUUUAUUAACUUGAAUUAACAGAAAUAACAAUAUUUAACAAUUUUAUAUAAUUUAUGGGCUAUAUUAAUUAUUUGCCAAUUGUUGAUAGAUCAUAUUAACGAAUUAAAAAAAUUUAGUCCAAAACUUAGGAAUCAUUUGUGUCAUUUUCCCUAAUAAAUUUAAAGGAUAGGUUCACUAAAAAUCCUAAAAUUGGUCACAAAGGUACAAUUGAGUCCUAAAAUUUAUAAAAAGUACAGCUAAGUACUAAAACUUAUCAAAUUAGUUCAAUCAAAAUCUUUCAUUAAUUCCGUCCAAUCUAACUAAUGAAAAAUGCCAACGUGGCGAUGAUGUGGCUUUUUCUAAAAGUACUUUAAUACAAAUUUAAUUUAAAUAAUUUAAAAAAAAACUAAUUUAAAAAGGUCAAAGUCUGGUAUAAUAAUCAAACGGCAUUAACCCACAAAAUACAAUCUCCCGAGCACCAGAGCGGCCGAAAUUAUCUUCAAUGUUGAAAAGGGCAACUAGGAGAAAUCGGACAAUGAUGUCGUAAGAGUAAAGUCUUUUCACGAGCUUGAUAAGGUCAACGUCCAACAUGUCCGAAGGAAAACUUUGCAGUUCAAUGGAUGAGAGAGAUUAGGAUCUUUCCGAGUACUUGACUCGAUGAAAGACGCAUGAGAUCAGGCUACAAUUGUCACAUGAUGUGUUAUUUCGGAAAGAACGAAUGAUUCGAUUUAAUUUCAUAGAUUGUGAGCAUCGCAAUGUAAUUUUCUCCACAAAGUCUCUUGAGAAAGUUAAAUCAAAUGGAGGGUAAUUAGCAUAUGAUAUCUUAGCUCUAUCGUAAAAGCAAUUCAUGUUGCUCCAACGAGAAUGAACUACGCCUUAAUUGUUUGAAAAGUCAUAAAGCUAUAUUUGGAAGUUAAUUCAAUUUUAAGUUAUUAAAUUGUGCCAAUUUAGUCAUAAACAUUUAGACAGUUUAUCAAUUUAGUCAUUUUGAUCAAUUUUGACUAGAACUCACUAAGGUCAUUCUAUGUGGCACUUGCACUAAUAUGAAUAAUUUUUUUUGUUUGUUCAUUUCUUCUUCAUCGGUCAAGAAGAGGAAAAUUUCAAAAUAAAAUAAAAUAAAAAAUUUACUCAUGCCAAUUUACCACGUAUGAUGGAUGGUUUCUACAAUAGCAAUUUUCGACCAAUAUUGCCUAGAAUGACAAUAUUAACAAUUCGUGAAAAUAUUUAUAAUUAAAUUGGUAUAAUUGAAAAUGUUAUAAUCGAACUGACUGUUAUAUAAUAGAUUUAUGAUUUUUUAGAUAAUUUUUCCAAUUAACGACAAUUGUGCAUCUCAAGAGUUGACAUUGUCAACGGCCGAAUACUUCGGGGGCAAAUCAUGUGAAUGGGAGCUCUGUGUAAAGUUGCUAGUCAAGUUCUCUACUGUCUUACGUGUUGUAUGAAUUUCAAGAUGAGAAGAUUUGAAGAUGAUGAUGAUGAUGAUGCUUAUGGAUAGAUUCGGUGGGGUCUGAAAUUUUCAAUUGCUUAGUUACCACACACAAGCGGGUAUUAUCCACUUAGAAAAAGCGUGUGACAAAGUUUCUUGCCUUGUACCCGACGUGAUAAUAAUGGAUGAGGCAAGAACCGUGACGUGGCACGUCAUUGUCUAGCUCAGCUGACUCGUUCUUCCACAGUGGACUUUUUGCAAUCAUCAAUACCUAAUCUGGAUUCUGAGGCCUAAACCAUAAGCAGUUGUCUUCCUCAGAUUUCAGCAUGAUCCACACGUUGUUUCUAAUCUGAUUUGACAUUUUGGGAUUUCUAUCGUAGAUUCGUUAAAAGGCCCGUGUUUUAUUCAAGGCCCAGCAGUUGCGGCCUCGACUCAACCGGGGCACCUCUCGUGGAUCUCUUUUUUUGGCCCAUCGUUUCUAGAAGCAGACCAGCAAUUCUUGUUACCUUGGUUCAUAUCAACUUCUGAUAUCUCCAUGUUGUCUAAAUAAGCCGGCGUUAGCUUCUAAUAAGUCACGGCGCGUUCGAGAGUUUUGAGCCAUGCUCGAGUCUUGUGGUGUCGUGUGGUGUCACCCGUGCUAAACAGAGUCGUGUGGUGUCACCCGUGCUAAACAGCUCGAAAGCAUUAGUAUUUACAAGAAAGAAAAGUUCAGACUCUUAUCAAGGUUAAGAGCUGGCAGUUUUGAGAAACUGGGUAUCUGCUCCACAAAUCACUUCUUCUUCUUCAGAGAGAGAGAGAGAGAAUAUGAGACACUUUUGCAAAAUUUGUCGGAACCUAUAAUUGAUCAUAUGAAGAAAUAUUUAAAAAGGCAGGCAUGGCAUUUUAACCGUCAGUCCCACAGGACUAGAUACCAAAUCUAAUCCCCCCCUUCUCCGUCCAGCUAUCUAUCAGUCACAACAGCCCUUUCACCAGCAACUCAUCCCAACAGUCCCGCCAGUCAAAAUGCCAAAUAAAUUCCAGUCUCAGAAAAUCAUCAUCACUCCACUUUCAAUGCAAAACAGAUCCCAGGUGGAUAGGGUAGGGCAUCCCGCAAUGACUCCAGGGCUCUCUACUUGUGAUUGAACCAGGGACCCAUCGCACCGUUGACGUGCCUGUUGCUGUGGUGCAUCCCUAUGCCAUUGGGCAUGACGGAAGGGGGAAGCCCCGCCGCCACUGGAGGGGGCACAGUCGGAUACAACCCCUGAUCGUGCGGCGGUAGCGUGUGGGGACUCACAAUAGGACUGCUAAGAGGGCUGCCCUUACGUUGUUGCUGAAUGGCGUGGAUCUGCCUAAGCCCCACUUCAUGAAUGCACGAGAUCGUCUCCAACUCUUUCAUUGAAAGUGCAUCCAGAUCAGCACCGUACAGAGGAGCAUGCCUAGACAUUUCUUCCCCGAGUUGAGUAACGAGUGAUUGGAUGCAUUCCUGCAAAGAGGAGGUGAAAUCUACGCAACAAAGAGAAAGCAGGACAAUCCAAAUUAAUACUAAAGCAUAUGCUUGAAUGAGAGUAGUUGGCACAAACCUGGUAGGCCUCCAAUCGUGCUUGCAUACUAUGAAUACGUUCUUCAUAUUCAGCAAUCCGCUCCUCCUUUUCCCGCUUUUCUCCUUCAGUUUGUCCCACUGUUUGUCUCAAUCUUCUAAUCUCGUCCUCAAGGGACUGCCGAAUCUCUUCUCGGGUAAUAUUUUCCGUCGCGUACCGCUUCGGCUCUUCAUCAGAUCUUUUCCUCCCAGCUUCCGCACUCUUCAGCUGCAAAAUCUGCGACUCUGCAUCACGAAGACGAUCUUGAAGGGCCUUCUUCUCAGAAGUGAGCUUUGCAAUUUCCUCCGCUCUCUCAGAGCGAAGCCCCUCAAGCUGGUUCUCUAGGUCCCGGACUUGUUCAGAUAAUUUUUUCCUUUCUGGUGCAACACGAUCCAUCUCGGCCUUCAUCUCAGACCGCCAAUUACAAGCAGUGUCAAACAAAAACUUGCCUCGAAGAAUCGACACACCACGUUAAGGCAAUCGCGUACCUUGGUCAAGAAGUAAAGCAAAAUAGUUAGCCUUAAGACGGGGUUGUUCGUCGCCUCAGAUUCUCACUCAGUUCCUGUGAUUACCGCAGCUUUUUCUCUAACCCUACCGGAGAUCUCGGCUUUCCUCUCUUCACGCAGGCGUGUGUGAUUUCUUCUUCCCUUGGACAAAAGCUUAGUGCCGAAGUUUUGUUCGCUGCCUCGUUUGGGACACGCGUUCGGACACGCAGUCGGACAGGUGGAAGAUUGAAGCGAGGAAAAGAAAAGUGAACUAAAUUUGAGGGACCGGGGUUUGGGAGUGGACCGUGAGAGGACUUUUUCAAUCAGAAAAAUAAAUAAAUGAGGUUAACAAAAGUGAUUUCGAAAAAUAAUAGUAUUGAAUUUUGAACAAUGAUAAAUUUUGGUCAUUGCAUAAUAUCAUAGACUUAUUUAAAUAAGUUUAUUCUAAUUUUUUAUAGGCAAUAAUAUUAUCAAUAACUUUGUUAAAGUUUAAAACAUGUCUUCAGAUAUGAAUACGCAUUAAUUAUGAAUAUGUCUUUCAAAUUUUCAAUAAAUAGAUUUAUUAAUAAUAUUAUUAUAAAUUCAUUGUAGAUUCUUUCUAUUAUUUAUUUUUUUGUGAAUUUGAAUAAAAUCAAUUAAAAAUAAGAAUAUUUAUUUAAUAGAUAACGUGUCAGAUUCUUUAUUUUUAAGAAAUAAUGUAUCAACGUGUCAUGUCGUGUUGUAUAUUUGCGUCGUGUGUUCAUGUCGCAUGUUGCAUGUCAAUGCUAUAUCGUUCUUAAAUGCUUAAUUUGGUCAAUGUUGUUUAUGAACUAUUCAUAAAUGUUGGAUGUUUUCCUUCAUCUUACUCAAAUGACAAACCGGACUUCACUGGAUGAAAUGGAUUAUUAUAAAGAUGCGCUAAUAUGUCUAUCCUUGUAUCCAUCUACUUUGAAAAAAGAGAAAUAAAAUUAUAGCAUUAAUGUAUCCAUCUUUAUUUGGUGACUCGGAUUAUUAUAUCUUGAUUUCAGGUAAAUAUUUUACGUGGGUACUUCAGGUGUAGUUUUUUAUUAUUAUAAUUUUUAUCCACCAUUCCAAAUUAACGGAUUAGGGCUUGUUUGUUAAUGUUCUUUGUUUUUGUUUAUAAACAAAAUUUCUGUUUUUUUGUUCUAGGGAACAAAAAAAGAACAGAAUCGUAUUUGUUUGUGCUUUUGUUCCAAAUCUAUUCUUUUGUUCCUAGGAACAUAUUUGGAACAGAAACAAAAAACAAGAAAAACGUGUUUCUUGUUUCUGAAACAAUUUUUAAGAACAAAAUUUCUCUCUCUUCUCUUUUUCUUCUCUCUUUUUUUUUCUUCUUUAUUUUUCUUUUUUCUUUAGCUGGUCGACGGCCUCGGCCAUGGCUGGCAAUCGGCUGUUGAGGGCUGGCGACCUUGUUGGAGCGUCGCCGCCCCCUGGCGAGGCCCAGCGUUGCCGGCCCCCGAUAAGGCUGAGCGUCACCGACCCCUGGCAAGGCUCGGCCUUGCUGGCGUGGGGCAAAGCUGGGCGAGCUCGGACUUGCCCAAAUCCGGCGAGUCCAAGCUUGCCUAGCCAAGGCGAGGUCGAGCCUCGCCCAACCACAAUGAGGCCUCGACCUCACUGGGGGCCGGUGAGCCUCGCCAUGGCUGGGUGAGGCCGUCGACCAUGGCCGAGGUCAGCAACCGGCCAAAAGAAGAAAAAAAGAAAAAAGAAAAAAGAAAGAAAAAUAAAAUAAAAAUAUUAAAAAAUUAAAAGAAACAAAAAAAAAAAAACACAAUUUUACCAAGCGUGUUUCUAUUCAAUUUUUAUUCUCGGAACAAGUUUACCAAACACGUUUUUUUGUUAAAAAAUUGUUCUCCAUAACAGAAACACUUUUUUCUAUUAGUCAUUUUGACCAAUUUUAACUAGAAAAGGUUGUUCUAUGUGGCGCUAGCACUAAUAUAAAUAAUUUUUUCAUUUUUUCCUCAUCGGUCAAGAAGAGGAAAAUUUCAAAAAUAAUAAUAAUAAUAAUAAAAUUUACUCAUGUCAACUUAUUAUGUAUGAUGGCUGGUUUCUACAAUAGCAAUUUCUGACCAAUAUUGCCCAAGAGGACUAUAUUAACAAUUCGUGAAAAUAUUUAUGAUUAAAUUGGUAUAAUUGAAAUGUUUAAAAUCGAAUUGAUUGUCAUAUAAUAUAUUUAGGAUUUUUUAGACAAUUUUUCCAUUCAACGACAAUUGUGCAUCUCAAGAAUCGGCAUAGUCAACGUCUGAAUACUUUGGGGGCAAAUCAUGUGAAUGGGAGCUCCGUGUAAAGUUGCUAGUCAAGUUCUCUGCUAUCUUUCGUGUUGUAUGAAUUUCAAGAUGAGAAGAUUUGAAGAUGAUGAGGACGAUGCUUAUGGAUAGAUUAGGUGCGGUCUGAAAUUUUCAAUUGCUUAGUUACCACACACAAGCGGGUAUUAUCCACUUAGAAAAAGCAUGUGACGGAGUUUCUUGCCUUGUACCCGACGUGAUAAUAGUGGAUGAGGCAAGAACCGUGACGUGGCACGUCAUUGUUCAGCUCAGCUGACUCGUUCUUCCACAGUGGACUUUUUGCAAUCAUCAAUACCUAAUAUGGAUCCUGAGGCCUAAACCAUAAGCCGCUAUUUUCCUCAGAUUUCAGCAUGAUCCACACGUUGUUUCUAAUCUGAUUUGACAUUUUGGGAUUUCUAUCGUAGAUUCGUUAAAAGGCCCGUGUUUUAUUCAAGGCCCAGCAGUUGCGGCCUCAACUCAACCGGGGCACCUCUCGUGGAUCUCUUUUUUUGGCCCAUCGUUUCUAGAAGCAGACCAGCAAUUCUUGUUACCAUGGUUCAUAUCAAUUUAUGAUAUCUCCAUGUUGUCUCAAUAAGCCGGCGUUAGCUUCUAAUAAGCCACGGCCCGUUCGAGAGUUUUGAGCGAUGCUCGAGUCGUGUGGUGUCACCUGUGCUAAACACCUCGAAAGCAUUAGUAUUUAUAAGAAAGAAAAGUUCAGACUCUUAUCAAGGUUAACAGCUGACAGUCUUAAGAAACUGAGAUUGCACAUGACAAAAUUUCUGAAACAUAAAUUGAUUUCUGACUAGAAAUCAAUUUCUUAAUUUCUAUUCCAUGGACAAGUUUCUAAGCAAAGAAACCCAUUUGAUAACAACUCAAAAUUUCUAUUUCUCAAACAUAAAUCCGUUUAAUAGCAGAACAAAAUUUAUAUUUCUAGGAAUAGAAAUCGAUUAGAUAACAACAUAGGAAAUCCUCAAAUACAAAAUAAUAGUCGAAAUAAUACUAAAACAAUAUAGGAAAUCCUCAAAUACAAAAUAAUAGUCGAAAUAAUACUAAUACUUUACAAAAGUUGAAAUACAAUUUCAUGGAAUUUCCGGCAUAGUAUUAUCCAUCGUCAUUUUAUUAGCAAUUGAUUUCCUAAGCAUAUUUAUUGGGUUUCCCUCAUCGGUCAAUGUAUCGUUUGCAAGUUCAUCUUGCGUAGGAUCAGACAAGUACUGCGGAAGCAUGAAUAUGGGUACUAUCAAUGGCGCCUAUACAGCAUUGUCAUUUUAUCAAAAAGUAUUAUACAAGAUUAUCAACAAAAUAAAAUUAAUUGUGUAAGGAAUAUAUGAGAAUUCUACCUUAAAGUAACGUUUAUGGUUAGGAACCAAUCGGGGGAAGGUUGGUUUAUUUUGAUUCUCGAAUUGAAUCAGUUCAGUUGCUCAUCCCUAAUUUCUUUAUUGUUGCUCAAUGAACCUUUAAUGGCCCUUCCAUAGCAAAGAGAGAGAUUCUCUUGAAUCUCUUGCCUUCGAAUUAAAAUUCAAAAUUGUGUAACAAUUUAAUUAUUUUGAUUUUGCAAGAAUUUUGAAUCCGUAAAAAAAUAAGGUUAAAUUUCUAGGUACGUUUUUUAUCCAUCUAUCACGUAAGCAUUUUUUCUUCAAUUGGUCAUGUGCGUGCCUUUUCUAGGAGGAAAUAAUCCUAUUGUUUUUAAAUAAGCUUUUAAGAACUUUGGUCGCUUUUUGAAAAUUGGGUACCCAUUCGAUUGCUUUUCAUCCUAAAGAGAAAGUUAUAAAAAAAAAUUUGAAAAAAAAAACACGAGCAAAAUAAGAAAAAGAAAAUUAACAAUAAUUUGUGAAGUUGUGGUUAUGAGUGAAUUAAGUUAGCAAGAAAGCGCAAAGUUCUUUCAUAUGGUUUGAUUUCAGUUUCUGAUUUCUAUUUCAGAAACUGAGAAAUUAAAAAUUUAAGCUUCUGAUUUCUUCAAUUUCUCUAUUUCUGGAAUAGAAAUCUAUUUCAAUAACAGAGAAAUCAAAUUACGUUACCAAAUGGAUUUCUGUUCCAAACUUGUUCCCGAGAACAGAGAAACAGAGAAAUCGAGAAACAGAAAUUUUGUUAUGGGCGCCCUGAGUAUCUGCUCCACAAAUCACUUCUUCUUCUUUAGAGAGAGAAAGUGAGAGAAUAUGAGACACUUUUGCAAAAUUUGUCGGAACCUAUAAUUGAUCAUAUGAAGAAAUAUUUAAAAAAAGCACUGUUACUCCCAUUGGACUAGACACCAAUCUAAUCCCCCCCCUUCUCCGUCCAGCUAUCUAUCAGUCACAGCAGCCCUUUCACCAGCAACUCAUCCCAACAGUCCCGCCAGUCAAAAUGCCAAAUAAAUUCCAGUCUCAGAAAAUCAUCAUCCCUCCACUUUCAAUGCAAAACAGAUCCCAGGUGGAUAGGGUAGGGCAUCCCGCAAUGACUCCAGGGCUCUACUGGUGACUGAACCAGGGAGCCAUUGCACCGUUGACGUGCCUGUUGCUGUGGUGCAUCCCUAUGCCAUUGGGCAUGACGGAAGGGGGAAGCCCCACCGCCACUUGAGGGGGCGCGUUCGGAUACAACCCGUGAUUGUGCGGCGGUAGCUUGUGGGGACUCAUGAUAGGACUGCUAAGAGGGCUGCCCUUACGUUGUUGCUGAAUGGCGUGGAUCUGCCUAAGCCCUUCUUCAUGAAUGCGCGAGAUCGUCUCCAACUCUGUCAUUGAAAGUGCAUCCAGACCAGCACCGUACAGAGGAGCAUGCCUAGACAUUUCUUCCCGGAGUUGAGUAUCGAGUGAUUGGAUAUAUUCCUGCAAAGAGGAGGUGAAAUCUAAGCAACAAAGAGAAAGCAGGACAACCCAAAUUAAUACUAAAGCAUAUGCUUGAAUGAGUUGUUGGCACAAACCUGGUAGGCUUCCAAUCGUGCUUGCAUACCAUGAAUACGUUCUUCAUAUUCAGCAAUCCGCUCAUCUUUUUUCCGCUUUUCUCCUUCAGUUUGUCCCACUGUUUGUCUCAAUCUUCUAAUCUCGUCCUCAAGGGACUGCCGAAUCUCUUCUCUGGUCACAUUUUCCGUCGCAUACCGCUUCAGCUCUUCAUCAAAUCUUUUCCUCCCAGCUUCCGCACUCUUCAGCCUUUCAGCAAGGUCGUCCUUUUCCUUUACCACUUUCUGUUCCAUUCACAUAUUUUGGUUGAAAAGACAUCAAUUAGCAUAUUCCCUAAGGCAAGAAAAAAGGGGAUAAAUCCAGUUCAUCCAACUCCACCCUGGUCAUCCAAAGCAAUUCCCCAUGCAAUCUUCUGAAAAAACACUAGCCAAUAGAUAAUCUUUUCCCCCUCUUGAAGAGAUAGGCAACACAAAUAAACCAAAACCAAGACCUCUUGAUUAAGGAUAAAUUAAGCGACAGAAGCAGUGACAGCUAACCUCCAAUUUACGAGUCUUCUGCAAAAUCUGCGACUCCGCAUCACUAAGACGAUCUUCAAGGGUCUUCUUCUCAGAAGUGAGCUUUGCAAUUUCCUCCGCUUUCUCAGAGCGAAGCCCCUCAAGCUGGUUCUCUAGGUCCCGGACUUGUUCAGAUAAUUUUUUCCUUUCUGGUGCAACACGAUCCAUCUCGGCCUUCAUCUCAGACCGCCAAUUACAGAGAGUGUCAAACAAAAACUUGCCAUUGAAGAAUCGACACACCACGUUAAGGCAAUCGCGUACCUUGGUCAAGAAGUAAAAGCAAAAUAGUUACCUCAAGACGGUGUUGCUCGUCGCCUCAGAUUCUCACUCAGUUUCUGUGAUUGCCGGCAGCUUUUUCUCUAACCCUACUGGAGAUCUCGGCUUUCCUCUCUUCACGCAGGCGUGUGAUUUCUUCCUCUCUUGGACAAAAGCUUAGUGCCGAAGUUUUGUUCGCUGCCUUUGGGACACGCGUUCGGACACGAGUCGGACAGGUGGAGGAAUGAAGGAGGAAAAUAAAAGUGAAAUAAAUUUGAGGGACCGGGGUUUGGGAGUGGACCGCAAGAGGACUUUUUUAAUCAGAAAAUUAAAUAAAUGAGGUUUAAAAGUGAUUUCGAAAAAUAAAAAUAUUGAAUGUUGAACGAUGAUAAAUUUUAGUCAUUGUAUAAGAUCAUAGACUUAUUUAAAUAAGUUUAUUCUAAUUUUUUAUUAGUCAAUAAUUUCAUCAAUAACUUUGUUAAAGUUAAAACAUGUCUUCAAAUAUGAAUACGUAUUAAUUAUGAGUAUGUCUUUCAAAUUUUCAAUAAAUAGAUUUAUUAAUAAUAUUAUUAUAAAUUCAUUGUAGAUUCUUUUUAUUAUUUUUUUUUUGUGAAUUUGAAUCAAAUCAAUUAAAAAUAAGAAUAUUUAUUUAAUAGAUAACGUGUCAGAUUAUCUUUAUUUAAUAGAUAACGUGUUAGAUUCUUUAUUUUUGAGAAAUGAUGUGUCAACGUGUCAUGUUGUGUUGUAUAUUUGCGUCGUGUAUUUGUGUCGCAUGUCAGUGCUGUAAUGUAAUUGAACCUUCGGCCACAUCCAUUCCUCCUGCCAAAUUUUUUCGAAAAUCCUGAUUUCCUAUGCCUUCGGCCACAUUCAUUGAAUCUAUCCUUUGAUUGCAACGUCGGAUCAUGCCGAUUAGACACGGGAUUAGGAAUUUCAAGAAACUGGUCAUGCUGAACGUAACUUCCUUACGGCAUAUCCCAACGCAAAUCUUUCAAAUAGAGGUAUUAAUGAAUUGGGAUAAAAAAAUUUGAACGUUAAUUUAAUGUGCAAUAUCGUUCUUAAAUGCUUAAUUUGGUUAAUGUUGUUUAUGAACUAUUCAUAAAUGUUGGAUUUUUUCCUUCAUCUUACUCAAAUGACAAACCGGACUUCACCGGAUGAAAUGGAUUAUUAUAAAGAUGUGUUAAUAUGUCUAUCCUUAUAUCCAUCUACUUUAAAAAAAAAGAGAAACAAAAUUAUAGCAUUAAUGUACCCAUCUUUAUUUGGUGACUUGGAUUAUUAUAUCUUGAUUUCAGGUAAAUAUCUUAUGUGGGUACUUCAGGUGUAGUGUUUUUUUUUAAAAAAAAUUUAUUCACCAUUCCAAAUUAAUAGAUUAAUAGCCAUAUCAGCAUAUUUUAUUAACUUGAAUUAAUGGAAAUAACAAUAUUUAAAAUUUUUAUAUAAUUUAGGGGCUAUAUUAAUUAUUUGCUAAUUGUUGAUGGAUCAUAUUGAACGAACUACAAAAUUUUAAUCCAAAACUUAGGAAUCAUUUAUGUCAUUUUCCCUAAUAAAUUUAAGGGAUAGGUUCACUAAAAAUUCUAAAAUUUGUCACGAAUGUACAAUUGAGUCCUAAAAUUUAUAAAAGGUACAGCCAAGUACUAAAAUUUAUCAAAUUAGUUCAAUCGAGUUCUUCCAUUAAUUCCGUCCAAUCUGACUAAUGAAAAAUGCCAAUGUGGCGAUGAUGUGGCUUUUUCUAAAAGUAUUUUUAUACAAGUUUAAUUUAAAUUAUUUUUUAAAAAAAAAGCUCAUUUAAAAAGGUCAAAGUCUGAUAUAAUAAUCAAACGGCAUUAACCCGCAAAAUACAAUCUCCCGAGCACCAGAGCGGCCGAAAUUAUCUUCAAUGUGAAAGGGGCAACUUGGAGAAAUCGUAAGAGCAAAGUCUUUUCACGAGCUUGAUAAGGUCGAAGUCCAACAUGUCCGAAGGAAAACUUGCAGUUCAAUGGAUGAGAGAGAUCAGGAUCUUUCCAAGUACUUAAGACUCGAUGAAAGACGCAUGAGAUCAGGCUACAAUUGUCACAUGAUGUGUCAUUUCGGAGAGAACCAAUGAUUCGAUUUAAUUUCAUAAAUUAUGAGCAUCGCGAUGUAAUUUUCUCCUAAAAAAGUCUCUUGAGAAAGUUAAAUCAAAUGGAGGGCAAUUAGCAUAUUGUAUCUUAGCUCUAUCGUAAAAGCAAUUCAUGUUGCUCCAACGAGAAUGAACUACGGGUCAAUUGUUUGAAAAGUCAUAAAGCUAUAUUCGGCAAUUAAUUCAAUCUUAAGUCAUUCAAUUAUGUCAAUUUAGUCAUAAACAUUUUGAUGAUUUGUGAAUUUAGUCAUUUUGACAAAUUUUAACUAGAAAUCACUAAGGUUGUCCUAUAUGGCGCUAGCACUGAUAUCAAUAUUUUUUUCAUUUUUUCCUCAUCAGUCAAGAAGAGGAAAAUUUCAAAAAAUAAUAAUAAAAAAUUUACUCAUGUCAACUUACCACGUAUGAUGGCUGGUUUCUACAAUAGCAAUUUCCGACCAAUAUUGCCCGGGAGGACUAUAUUAACAAUUUGUGAAAAUAUUUAUGAUUAAAUUGGUAUAAUUGAAAGGUUUAGAAUCGAACCGACUGUCAUAUAAUAGAUUUAUGAUUUUUUAGAUAAUUUUUCCAAUCAACGACAAUUGUGCAUCUCAAGAGUUGGCAUUGUCAACGCCCGAAUACUUUGGGGGCAAAUCAUGUGAAUGGGAGCCCUGUGUAAAGUUGCUAGUCAAGUUCUCUGCUUUGAAGAUGAUGAUGAUGAUGCUUAUGGAUAGAUUAGGUGGGGUCUGAAAUUUUCAAUUGCUUAGUUACCACACACAAGCGGUAUUAUCCAGUUAGAAAAAGCGUGUGACAAAGUUUCUUGCCUUGUACCCGAUGUGAUAAUAAUGGAUGAGGCAAGAACCGUGACGUGGCACGUCAUUGUCCAGCUCAGCUGACUCGUUCUUCCACAGUGGACUUUUCGCAAUCAUCAAUACCUAAUCUGGAUUCUGAGGCUUAAACCAUAAGCAGCUAUUUUCCUCAGAUUUCAGCAUGAUCCACACGUUUUUUCUAAUCUGAUUUGACAUUUUAGGAUUUCUAUCGUAAAUUCGUUAAAAGGCCCAUGUUUAAUUCAAGGCCCAGCAGUUGCAGCCUCAACUCAACCCGGGGCAACCCUCUUGAAUCUCAAUCUUUUGCCCAUCGUUUCUGGAAGCAGACCAGCAAUUCUUGUUACCAUAGUUAAUAUCAAUUUCUGAUAUUUCCACGUUGUCUCAAUAAGCCGGUGUUGGUUUCUAAUAAGCCGGCGUUAGUUUCUAAUAAGCCACGGCGCGUUCGAGAGUUUCAAGUGAUGUUCGAGUCGUGUGGUGUCGCCUGUGCUAAGCGCCUCGAAAGCAUUAGUAUUUACAAGAAAGAAAAGUUCAGACUCUUAUCAAGGUAACAGCUGACAGUCUAAACUGGGUAUCUGCUCCACAAAUCACUUCUUCACAGAGAGAGAGAGAGAGAGAGAGAGAGUAAAUGUGAGAGACUUUUGCAAAAUUUGUUGGAACCUAUAAUUGAUCAUAUGAAGAACUAUUAAAAAAAAGCAGGCAUGGCAGUUUAACUGUUACUCCCAUUGGACUAGACACCAAUCUAAUCCCCCCCUCCGUCCAGCUAUCUAUCAAUUACAACAGCCCUUUCACCAGCAACUCAUCCCAACAGUCCCCCCAGUCAAAAUGCCAAAUAAAUUCCACUCUCAGAAAAUCAUCAUCCCUCCACUUUCAAUGCGAAACAGAUCCCAGGUGGAUAGGGUAGGGCAUCCCCCAAUGACUCCAGGGCUCUCUACUUGUGAUUGAACCAGGGACCCAUCGCACCGUUGACGUGCCUGUUGCUGUGGUGCAUCCCUUCGCCAUUGGGCAUGAUGGAAGGGGGAAGCCCCACUGCCACUUGAG